rnacentral:rRNA from 1 species
GAUUAAAUCUUAUUUUUGUUUUUAAUAAAUUAGUUAUUUGUUGGGAAAAAUCAUUUUUUAUUUAUUUAAAAAGUAAAUUUUAUUAAAAUUUAAUAAUGUGAUAGUUAAAAGUACUGUAAGGGAAAGAUAAUUUUUCUGGUCGAGAAAAAGUAAAAAUAUAUUUUUGUACCUUGUGUAUUAUGGAAUUUCAAAAUUUGGCUUGUAAAAGCUUAUCCCGAAAAAAGAAGAGCUAAGAUAGAAUAAUAUUUUUUGUGUCAAAAAAAUUAAUAAUUUUAUCUUAGAGGUGAAAUGUCAAUCGGGUUUUUAUAUCUGGUUUUCUUUGAAAUGAAUUUAAUUCAGGGGCAGUUCUAAGAAGGUCUGUGCCUAAGAAGGUUGGGGUAGAGCUCAACUUUCAAUAAUGGGUGUAGUAUAAAGUUAUCAUAAUUGUUGCUUAGAAGUAGGCUUAAGAGUAGCUAGCUUUGUUCGGUGUUUUAACUAAUAGGUUAAUCAAUACAAUAUUUUUUUAGCUUUUACUUAUUUAUUAGAAAUUAAUUCAGAGUUAGAAUCAAUUAUUUAUUCUGAAAUUAUUAGUAAAAUAUUUUAUAAAAAAAGCUAUUUUUAUUUUUAAUAAAAUAUUAAGAUGCUUGAAAUUUAGUUAAGGAACUCGGCAAAUACUAUUUCCGCCUGUUUAACAAAAACAUGUCUCCUUGAAGAUGUAGGGAGUCUGACCUGCCCACUGAAUUAUUAAAGGGCCGCGGUAUUUCUGACCGUGCGAAGGUAGCAUAAUCAUUAGUCUUUUAAUUGAAGGCUUGUAUGAAGGGUUGGACGAGAAAAGAGCUGUCUCAACUAAAAACUUGAAUUUAACUUUUAGGUGAAAAGGCCUAAAUAUAUUGAAAAGACGAUAAGACCCUAUAAAUCUUGAUAUUAAUACAAAUUAAACUUUUAGGUUAUAUUUAGAUGAGAGUGUUGGUUUGAUAGUGUUGUGUUGGGGCGACAAGAAUAUAGUAAUUUUAUCUGUUCUAUUUUUAAUACAACUAUUAUUGUUUAAAAGAAGAUCCUUUUUAGAGAUUAAAAGAUUAAGUUACUUUAGGGAUAACAGCGUUAUUUUCCUUGAGAGUCCUUAUCGAAAGGAGAGUUUGCGACCUCGAUGUUGAAUUAAAAUUUCUUUAUGGUGCAGCCGCCAUAGGAGAGAGUCUGUUCGACUUUUAAAUUUUUACAUGAUUUGAGUUCAGACCGGCGUGAGCCAGGUUGGUUUCUAUCUUUCAGAUAAUAUUAGAUGGUUUUAGUACGAAAGGAUUGAGCUGUUGAAAUAAUUUUAUGAUUAAGAAUUAUAUUAUUUACCUAAACUAAAUUUAGUGGCUCUACAAGGGGAAUAUUAAGGGUAAAGAAGUAGUUUGUAGCUAACUAUUUUGUGUUCAUUA